GUCAGAAAUGACUUGGGUGUAAUUUAAGUGAAUUUGGAGAUUUAUCUCGGGUGAAUGGAGAGACAUUUUGAAUGGCGAAUCUGUUGCAUCAGAGAAAAAGUUAUGGAAAUCGGCGAACAUCAUCGGAAGCAGCUGACGAGGCGCGGAGGAGAAGAGAGCUCGUGAGGCGCGCGUGCUGAAAACGGAGUGCACGGAAAGACUUUAAAAACCAGUCAUCCUAAAAGAAUUGCGACGCAGUGAGUGUCCUGUCGCACAAGUGUCUUCUAGAAGAAAAGCUUGCCGCAUCUAAAGAGAGUUGUGAGCGAAAGAAGACGGAAAUAGCGGAAAGCACGUCAGUGAUGAGUCAACCCGAGAUGCUGAUGGUAGGAUGAAAAGUGUUUAGCGAGCUAAAUGUUAGCCUAUAUAUGUUUAUUUAUAUUUAGAUAAAUAUCUUCUUGUGUAUUGAAGAGACAGUUUAUGGUGUAACAGAAGUUUGCUGAUUCAUAUUGUAUAUAAUAAUAUUGAAUUAGUGUGCAUACAGUUACAAUGUGUACUAUUAAGUGUACUAAGUGUUCAUAUUGUGUGUACUUGUUACAGUGCAUUAGAUGUUAAGUAUAUUAUUAUAAUUUAGUAUAUUAUUCUGUUUUCUUAAAGGUUAUCAACCUAAUUUGAUCCCAAACUGCAAAAAUAUCUACCUUCAAUUAAACUAACUACAAUCGGACCAAACUAAAUUCCAUCUGUUGGAUAAUUGUUGUUGGAUGUGAAUGGAUGUAAAAAAUCAACACACUGCAAUACAAGUAGGACUGUAAGAAGUUUAUUGAAGACUGGAAGUAAAGCCAUUUUUUUUUGAGUUGAUCCUUGUGUCCGUGGUUGACUAAGUCCUUUUUCGAGUUAGAGGCAGGCUGAUGUGUGAAAUCUGAAAUUAACUCGACAGUUGAUAACCACUGGGACAGCCACAACUUGCUAACACAGUUGACGAUCAGCAUAACAGCAGUGGUUUUCACAUUCGUGGCAGGGCAGGACGGCCAAGCUCAAGACAGUGUGUCAUUGGAGCAGGAAAGUGAAUAACCUGAACGUUGUUGCUGCUGUGGAAGUGUCAGGUGGAUAAGUAGAAAAUGGCUGAAGAAGCAGUGGGAAAACCAAUUGAGCAGCUUAAAAAAGAAAGGACUGCUGCAAAAAUCAGUUUCACUAGACAAAUUAACUUCCUUAGCAGAGAAGCUCACAGGCUAAUGGAGGAGGAGCUUAAGGAGGAGUUCAAGAAGCUCUCACUCGUUGCAAGGAGGGUUUUUGAGAUUAACGAUGAUUACAGAACUGGCCUUCUUGCCGAUAUGGAAGCUGAUGAGAGCAAAGACGAGGAGGUAGUUCUUUCAAUGCAGCAGGAAGCAGACAUUAGAAAGACUGCAAGUGAGUGCGAUGCAAAGUUUAAUGAAGUUGAAAGAAUUGUUCAAGAUAAUCUUUGGUCAAGAUAUGGACUGCACGAAGUGACUGAUGCAAUCUCUGCGGCGGAGAAAGCCUGCGAUCGAGUAGCAAGUAUGGCUGUUGACGGCAACGAUUAUGAAAACUAUGAAGUGCAAAUUGACUUCCUCACAAAACUUGUUAAGGAGGCGAUAAGAGCUUUAUCAAACUGGGAGAGAUGGACCCCUGAUGGUGAAAGGAAAGUUUUGGAGGGACGUGCACGCAGGUUGAAGGAAAACAGCAACGACCUUGAAGCAAGGAAAGGUGAGUUCGCUAGAGCGCGGAGGGCUGCAGAAGAUGCAUCAGGCAUAAAUCCCAUCGUAGGAACGAUGCCAAGCGCAACGCCAUUUAUAGCUCAAGCCACACCAAUUGUAAAAUUGAGACCAGCAAGUUUGCCCAUGUUCAACGGAAGCAAAAGAGACUUCUAUCGCUGGAGAAAAGACUGGGAAAGCCUUCAACAACAAGGGGAACCUUCUGGGUCUGUAGAAGUCAAAAAGAUUCAAUUGCUGGAUAGUAUAGAUGAUAGGAUUGUGAAAGACCUCAGACUGUCCUCCUACAACACCGCUGAAGAUGUAUUCAGGGUUCUAACAAAUCGUUAUGGAAACAAGUAUGCAAUCACAAUGGAGAUUGUGGAGGAGCUAGAAAGACUUCCUGUGAUGAGAGGAAACCAGCCACGCAGAGUGAUUGAACUCAUCCAAACAGUGGAGAAGGCUUUAGUGGAUCUCACUGAUCUUGGAGACACAGGGGCCAUAAAAAACCCUCUUGUGGUCAAAUCCAUAGAAAGUAAACUUCCUGAGUUCAUGAAAAGGGACUGGCUUGCUCUGAUGUCGGCUCCUGAAAGUAAUGUUACAUCUGAAAACCACUUCGACAAGCUUCUUGAGUUCUUGAAGAAGGAGGAAGGGAUCCUUGAGAGACUGGAGCAGCUCAGAGUCACAGAGAAAGUGGAAAGGCAAGAAAGAAAGCCAGAAAGAAGUCAUGCAUUCACUAAAUCAACAAAAACAGUGCCGUCUGAAAGUCUCUGCAUUGUGUGUGGGUCUGAGAAGCACAAGGGGAAAAUCUUCUUCUGCAGGAAGUUCAAGGAACUGGAGCUGGCUGAGAAGAAGGUGAUCCUGAGAAAGCUUGGAGUGUGCAGGAAGUGCCUGGGACAUCAUGAAGAUGACAGCAAGUGUAGGGACGCAUUUCUAUGCAGGCGUAAGGAUUGUAGAAGUGGAUCCUCUGUAGAGCAUCACUACCUCAUCUGUCCUAGAGGGGAGACCAAGCCUGAGUAUAAAGGUAGAGUCACCCUCAGAGAGGGGAAGAAGGGAAGCCAAUUAACAGCAGAACAAGAGGAGUUCCUCUCUGAACUUUCCCCUGAGGUGGCAGAAAAGUGUAAAAAAGCAUUUACCAACAGUGCUAGGAUGGAAAGAUCCAAAAGCAAGAAGUUGGGCCUGUUGGAGGAAAAUGGACUCCAAGAGCUACCAGUUAUCAUGAUGCUCAAAGAAGUGACGACCAACACAGGACAGAAAAUCGGUACCCUAAUCGACCUGGCGUCCGAUACAAACUACAUAACUCAUGAAGCUGCCGACAGGCUUAGAUUGAGUGGUGAAGAAAUCAACCUGGUUGUUCAUGGAGUGGGGAAGAUGGCUAUCCAUGUGAGAACCAAGAGGUAUCUCCUCCGAAUUCGAGUGAGAACACCAGUGGGAACAGAAAGGGCUCACCAGUUAGUCUGUUACGGUCUGGAAGAAAUCGCAAGAGUGCACAUGAGUGUUAGUCCAGAGCGACUGAAAAGGUUCUUCCCAGAAGUAGACUUGGCAGAGCUAAGGAGGCCUGAAAAAAUAGAACUUCUUCUUAGUCAUCGGGAAGGAAAACUUGCACCGCAAAGGGUGAAAAUUGUAGGAGACCUUGUUCUAUGGGACAGCCCGCUUGGAAAGAUGGUGGGUGGAGCUCAUCCGGACUUGUUUGAGGCAGUAAACAUGACAGCCCACGAGUCGAAGACACACUUUGCACGUUCUAUGAGGACUGCUGCGGUCAGGUACAAGGAAGUUCUCAGAGAAAGUGAUCCAAUGCACAUCUCCAGGGCCCCUAAAGGAAACAAAAUGGCCUGUGCUAAUGUAGGAAGCACACUUGCAAGUGGCAGAGAGUUUCUUCAGUGGUGGAGCUGGGAUAGUAUCGGAGCUGCAUGUGAGCCAAAGUGCGGAGGCUGCCGCUGCGGGAACUGUCAGCCAGGGGGAAAAGAGAUGACUCUGGCAGAGGAGAAAGAGCUGGAGAUCAUAAGAAAGGGUCUUACUUAUGUGCAAGCGGAUUCUCACAGCGAUCAACCUCACUGGGACGCAAGGUACCCAUGGAUCCAAGAGCCUUCCUCUCUUCCGUAUAACCGAAGUGGAGUGGAGUCGACUUUCCUGAGAACGGAAAAGCAACUUGGGAAAGUGCCUGAGUGGAAGAAAGUCUACACUGCUCAAGUCCACGAUAUGGUUGAGAGAGGUGCAGCAGUAAAGCUUACAAAAGAUGCACUUGAUAAGUGGAAAGGUCCAAUUUGGUACGUAAGUCACCUAGUAGCACCAAACCCACAUUCAGUCACCACGCCUGUGCGUCUGGUGUGGAAUAGCAGCCAGAAAUUUAAGGGGCUGAGUAUGAACGACCUCCUGCUGAAAGGGCCUGAUGUGUUGAAUCCUAUCCGAGCCGUCUUGCUUAGGUUCAGAAAAGGAGUGUUCGGAGCAUUGGGAGACAUCAAAAAGAUGUAUAAUUCAGUAUGGCUUGAAGAACAAGAAAUGCACCUCCAUAGAUUUCUCUGGAGGGAUACACCAGAGGGAGAAAUAGAGGAAUACGCCAUAACCAGAGUUAAUAUUGGAGAUCGUCCGGCUGGGUGUAUCGCACAGCUGGCGAUGCGGGAGACAGCUGGUCUGGCAGCCUUUGCUCACCUGAGGGAGGAGCGAAGAGUUCUCGAAGAAGACAGUUACGUUGAUGACAUCCUCACAUCUCAUAAUGAUCAGAGGAAACUGGUAGAGAUAGUGAAGGGAAUUGAAGAAAUCCUGAAAGCAGGUGGAUUCUCGCUCAAGGCAUGGGUCUGGUCUGGUCAAAGUGGGAGGUCUGGAUCUGAAAGGGUAAACAAAGCGUUUCCUGAGAAAACCAUCAUACUUCCUAACCAGCUGGGUGAAGGGGAUGAUAAGGCCCUGGGAGUUGGAUACCUAGCAGAGGAGGAUAGGUUGUAUAUCAUGACUUCUGUUAAUUUUUCCAAAAGGAAAAAGAAGUUGAGGACGGAGCAGGAUCUCCUUGAAGAGGAAGUCAGGCUGAAGACACCAAAUCCUUUGACCAGAAGACACCUAUUGAGUCAGGUAGCAGGACUCUAUGACCCAAUUGGCCUCAUCACACCAGCUAAACAAAAGGGUACGAUUCUCGUCAGAAAAGCAUUCCAGGAAGCUGGAGGCGGAGGUCUAACGAGGCAUACAUGGGACACGGGGCUCUCAGAAGGAAUUCGAGGAGAAGCUAUCGAGUUAUUUGAGGAGUAUGUGCGACUCCAGAAAGUCAAGUUCCACAGAAGUCUUACGCCUGCAGACUGGAAAGGAAAGCCAUGGGGAGUCACGUUCUCGGAUGGGAGUGACAAAACUUAUGGUGCAGUAUUAUAUCUCAGGUGGAAUUCAAGCCAAGGAGUGGUUGUUAGAUUGGUUGAGUCUAAAGCCAAACUAACACCACUAGAAUUGAAGGGUGAUCCCAUUAAGGCUGAAAUCUGUGGUGCAGUCUUUGCAACACGUCUUAGAAAGUAUUUCGAAAAGCAUGGACGGAUUGAAGUAGAGAAGUGGUUCCAUCUUGUGGAUAGUCAAACGGUACUGGGAGCUAUCCAGCGUGAUAGCUAUGGAUACCAAACUUUCUUCGCGAAUAGGAUCGGAGAGAUUCAGAAGACAGGAGCAUCCAGUGACUGGUGGUGGAUUCCUGGGGAUCUGAACAUCGCAGAUAUCAUCACGCGAGGGGCGAGCCCUAAAGAUCUUGACGAAGAUUCCAUCUGGCAGAAUGGACCGGAAUUCCUUAAGAGGUCAGUGGAGGAGUGGCCCAAAAGAUCAGCAGCUGAAAUCGCUGAUGAUGCUAGAGAAAGAGUCAACAAGCUCCAGAGGAAAGUCUUCUCAGCUGCGGUGACUCGAGGUCAGAUAAAGGAAGUAUCAGUAGCUGAUGAGUCAUCUCGACUGGAAAUGCUGAGCAAGCUGGUCACCGAAGGAUUGGUGGACAUUGAGAAGUUCAGUAGUCUGUCCAGGUUGAUAAGAGUCAUUGGCUGGGUGUGGCGCAGUGUGAGGAAAUGGCUUGAGUCAAGGAACAGAGGUUCAAUGUAUGGAAAACAAAAUCCAGUCGGUGAGCGUGUGCUGACGGUGAAAGAAAGAGAGGAUGUUUUGAAGGCACUCUUUCUAGCAGCUCAAAAGAGCACAACAUUUCCUUUGACCACACUCUGCAGACUGGCUGUAUUCAAAGAAGAAAACAACGGACUUCUUGUAUGCGGUGGAAGAUAUGAAGCCUUUGGAAAGGAGAGGAACACUGUUCCAAUAUUACCCAUGGAAGCAAGAGUAUCAUUGCUACUGGCUCAUGAAGCUCAUGAAGCCAACCAUGAGGAAAUUGCCGGGACUCUUCUGAGGAUGAGAAAAGUAGCUUGGGUAGUAAAAGGACGGAGGUUGGCCAAAAGAGUCGUAGAAAGUUGCGUAAUCUGCAGGAAAGCACGAGCAAAGAGGUGCAAGCAGAUCAUGAGUGAUCUCCCGCCUGAAAGAAUUGGACCAGCUGCACCCUUUGAAUUCGUCACAGUAGAUCUUUUCGGUCCCUAUGAGGUGAAGGAUGAAGUGAAGAAAAGAGUGCGAAUGAAGGUCUGGGGGAUUGUGUAUUGUUGCAUGGCUUCAAGGGCUAUUCACGCAGAUGUUGUGGGUGAUCAAUCCACUGAAGGUUUCUUGUUGUCUUAUAAGAGGUUCACAGCCUUAAGGGGACAUCCCAAAAAAGUGUGGUCAGAUCCAGGCUCAAACUUCGUGGGAGCACAGUCCGCCCUGAAAGAUCUCUAUGAGUUUCUAGGAAGAGUAGAGAAACCAGGACUUGAAGAGGAAGCCGGGAGACAUGGGACCGAGUGGUCCUGGAAGUUUCAUCCAGCGAAUUCACCCCAUAGGAAUGGGGCAGCUGAAGCUGCUGUUCGUGUGGUAAAGAGAUCUCUUCAUAACCUGGGGGGUGAAGGUGUCUUCACGUGGGGAGAAUUCCAGACUUUCUUGUGUAUGGCAGCAAACUUGGCGAAUGAAAGGCCCAUAGACGCACGAACACAAAGCCGUGAGUAUUGUCUCGAGUACAUUACACCGAACUCUCUUUUAUUGGGAAGAGCAAGCCCAAGAGGAGAUCCAUGCGAUUUUGAUUUCGAAGGAUACCCGUACAAAAGGCUGAGGGUCAUCCAAGGAGAAAUCAAUAAGUUCUGGAAAAGGUGGAGCCAGCUGGCAGGACCAAACCUGUUCAUAAGGAGUAAGUGGCAUACAAGAGAAAGGAAUGUCGCCGUAGGAGACAUUGUCUGGGUCGCGGACCAGAAUGCUUUGAGGAGCCAAUACAAGUUAGGCAGAGUCAUAAAGGUGAAUGCUGAUCCUAAAGGUAUUGUGAGAGAUGUUGACGUCAGAGUUUUCUCGAGUCAUCCAGUCUUCUGCUCGGGUCUUGAGAAGACAGACACAAGGAAAAUCACUAAAAGUGAAAGCACCAAAAUCCUAUCAACCGUUCUUCAUAGAGAUGUCAGGCGGUUAGUCGUACUGAUCCCAGUGGAGGAACAAUUCAAGAAUGUGGAAGAAAAGUGUUGAGUGUGACAUCUUGGAUUCAAGAACCAAAGAUGUCAAGUGGGAGGUGUAAAGUCAGAAAUGACUUGGGUGUAAUUUAAGUGAAUUUGGAGAUUUAUCUCGGGUGAAUGGAGAGACAUUUUGAAUGGCGAAUCUGUUGCAUCAGAGAAAAAGUUAUGGAAAUCGGCGAACAUCAUCGGAAGCAGCUGACGAGGCGCGGAGGAGAAGAGAGCUCGUGAGGCGCGCGUGCUGAAAACGGAGUGCACGGAAAGACUUUAAAAACCAGUCAUCCUAAAAGAAUUGCGACGCAGUGAGUGUCCUGUCGCACAAGUGUCUUCUAGAAGAAAAGCUUGCCGCAUCUAAAGAGAGUUGUGAGCGAAAGAAGACGGAAAUAGCGGAAAGCACGUCAGUGAUGAGUCAACCCGAGAUGCUGAUGGUUAUCAACCUAAUUUGAUCCCAAACUGCAAAAAUAUCUACCUUCAAUUAAACUAACUACAAUCGGACCAAACUAAAUUCCAUCUGUUGGAUAAUUGUUGUUGGAUGUGAAUGGAUGUAAAAAAUCAACACACUGCAAUACAAGUAGGACUGUAAGAAGUUUAUUGAAGACUGGAAGUAAAGCCAUUUUUUUUUUGAGUUGAUCCUUGUGUCCGUGGUUGACUAAGUCCUUUUUCGAGUUAGAGGCAGGCUGAUGUGUGAAAUCUGAAAUUAACU